ACUUGUAGACAAGGGCGUGUGAGACCUCUGGAGCCAGAAGAGGCUUGUAGAAGCUAGGUGGGGGUCAGGGGGCUGCUGGCCAGGAAAAGUGAAGUCUGCCAGGAGUUGCCUGGUUUAUGUAGACUCAUACCACAGAACCACGGGUUCUGGAUGAGGUUCCCCUCUCCAGGGCCGGUGAAGAAUGUUGACGGUGACUGGACUACAGUAAAAAUGCAAGUUUAUCAAGAUGCUCCCAGCACAACCCUGUGUGCAGGGCCUGGCCCCACAUAUCUGCAGCCACUGGCUGUCCUCAGGGGCAGGUGUCAUCCCAGCUGCCUGCAGAGAUCCAGGCACAGUCAGCUCAGGAGAACGGUGGCCGAGCAGAUCCUCCAUCUAUUCACUGGGGUCCUGCAUAGAAAUGCCAUCUUUCUCUUGGUGAGUGUGGCGUCCCACUCUGAGGUCAGACGUGGGGACUAGCCUCUCCAGGCCUCAGAACCUCCGGCAGCUCCCUCCCCGACAUGCCCACAAUUCCACAGCCACGUGGUUAGCUCCACUUCACUCAACAAACCUGCACGGGCCCCUGAGGCAGCAGGCACUGAGGAAGCAGGUGAGAAAUCUCCCAAUCUACCCUUCCCAGAGCUCUCGGUCGGUCGCUGCAUGCGACAGAGAACGGGCUGGCUGUGCCACGGGAGAAACUUCGACAGGUGGUAGGAGCCAGGUUCUGGUCCUGGUCUGCCCUCUGACAGGCUGUGGGACCUCCAGCCUCAAUUUCCCACUUGCAGAAUGAGGGAAUUGGACUGAAGUCUCUGGAUUCAAGCUGUGCCUUGAGGACGCCCUCUCCCUCCCCCCAGGAUUCGAAGACGGGCCUACGUGCCUGAGGGUGGCAGAGUGGACCUGGUUUCACGCAUGCUCAGAGCCCAAACUGCCCCUGCAGGCAACAGCCAAGAUCCAUGAGUCAAUGCCAUGGCAGGCAGGGGAUUGAGUCUACCAAGCAGCUGCACGUGUCUCUGUGUUACAGACAGAGUUUCAAGAAGGACCUGCAGCUCUGGAAGGCUUGCCAACUGUGAUUGGACUGGAUGCUCUCUGGUCCUGCUGGCUACGGGAGGCUGGAGGCCCCUGUCUGCUCAUUGCACCCCGACUUGAUGGCCACAGAGCCAGGGAGCCUCAUGGGCCACCUCUGACCCGCUGGCCUGGAGGGAGCUUCCUGACUUCACAGUAUUGAGACAAUUCCAAGAUGCUGAAAGGCAUCCUGUUAAAAUUAGGAGAGACCUCAGGGAUAUCUAAUUUGGACAGCACCCCCUGCCCAAAGUCACACGGCCAGGCUGAGCAGGGCCAGUCCUGACCCCUGACGCCCAGCCGGGCCCACACCAUGAGUGUGUGGCUCAGCCCUGCAGCCCCACUUGCUCUGACCCCUUCAUGAGUCAUUCUUCCCUGAGCUGGAUAAGGACAAAUGGGCAGGGAGGCCCGCAGCAUCCCCUAGUCCUGCCCACCAGCAGCUGUCCCCCAGGGCUCCUGGUCCCCAGCAGUGGGGAUAUGGCCAGGAGCUCCCGAAACCUGUGUCAGCACGGCCUGGGGUUCUGUUCUGGGCCUCCACACUGAGACAGCUUUGGGUAGCGUGCUGUCUGCAGAUGCCCCUCCGAAAACUGAUCUGAAAAAGCAAAUUCAAUGAAAACAGUAUCCAACGGAGGCUGUGGAGGGAGUUUAACAGGCGCAAUGCAAUCACGCAGGUUGGAAUGAAUCCAAGACUUCGAUGCUCCCAGGGAGGCCGCUUGAGUUCAGCAGCAGUUGUAUAAAAUGACACCCGAGAUGGCCCAGCUUCCCAAAAUCAGAGCAGAAAGGGGAUUCCGAAAGUGGCAUGUGACCGCGUCCCUGGCUCCUGGGCCUUCUCACUUCAUGCUCCCCACCUGAGCUCUCUCCAUGGGCUGUACCUUCUCUGCAGGUUCCCAGGGCAAGAUGUACGCAGUCAUCUGUUUCACCACCCGAGCCUGGCCCCUGCCAGCAGCCAGCACAGAGGCACUCAUCUUCUGAGACCCCAGAGUAGCAUGUGAGGGACCCAGAAAAUGCCCCGAUGGGAAGGGCCUUUGGGAUCAUUUUGAUCCAAGGUCCUCAAUGCACUUGACUUUGAGAAAGGGAGUCAGAAGCCACAGCGCAGGGGACCAUAGAAACAGCUAAGGGUCUCGAUUCUGGCUGAGCCUCUCCCUGACCAUGUGGGAUGGGGGCAAGCUUCAGACCUCAUCGGGGCAGGCUUUCCACAGUGUCUAUCCCUGGCUGUCCUCACCUGCCAGAGGAAAGAGGGUCGUAAUCCACAGGCCUCCUGUGUGGAGGACUCUCGGCUCCUGCAUGGACCCUGCCCUGGGAGCACACUCAGCACCGGGGACAAGGGACUAACCACAACCCACUGAAAUGCAAGCCAGACUGCACAGAACAGGAGGCCUAAGCCAGGUGCCUGGGGAGCCCAGAGGAAGAAAUGACUGCCUCUGCCUGGGAGGGAUCUGGGAGGAUUCACAGAGUGGAUGACAUUGGAGCUGGGAGUACUGAACAGAUCAUUAAGAGUUGGCAGGCAAUCUUCCCAGCUGGGCUGAGAACAUUUCUCAGCUCCCCAAAGGCAGAGGAGCUUGUCUGCAGUCAGGACCUAGCUCCGUGGGAACCUGAGCCAUGCCAGGCCACACUCUUGGCAGAGCCCUGAUGGGCGGAUGUCGAGGGCUUGGACUCAACAGUGCCUCAUCCUCGACUUCAUGCCCUGGAUCCAGCUCUGCUUCAUUAAUCUUUCCCUUCUAGAAAUGCUUCCUCAUGCACUACUUUUCCAACCUCACUGCAGCAACAUGACCUCUCCACUUGAUGCGCUUGUUAAAACAUACACAGAAAUAGAAAAAAGAACCCAAUGAACUUCUAUCACCUAAAGUCAACAAUUUUCAACACAUGGCCACCCUUGUUUCAUCCAUAUCUCCCUUUCAUUUCCCCAACCCCAGACACCAUAUCGUUUCAUCCAUAAAUAUUUAUAAAUGC
rnacentral:lncRNA from 10 species